rnacentral:ncRNA from 1 species
AUAAAAUAAUUAUGUUUUUGGAAAUUUAUUAUAAAUUUAUUUUACAUAUAAAUUUUAGUAUAUAAUUUUAAUUAUUUAAAUAAUAAUUAAUUUAUUUUGGUAGUAAUUAAUAUUAAAAAUUUAAGAAAUUAAGAUUUAGUAAUAUAAAAAUUAAUAACUAAUUUUGUGCCAGCAGUUGCGGUUAAACAAAAGUUAAAUUAAAUUAUUUCAGUAUAUAAUAAAUAAUUAAAUUAUUAAAAUAAAUAUUAAAUUAUUAAGUGAAAUUUUAAUUUAAUUAAAUUUUAUUUUAAAAUUAUGAUUUAAUAAAUUUUAAUAUAAACUAGGAUUAGAUACCCUAUUAUUAAAAAUUUAAUUUAUAAUACUAAAAUAGUAAAUAAUAAUUUAUUGAAACUUAAAUAACAUGGCGGUAUUUUAGUUCAUUUAGAGGAAUCUGUCUAAUAAUUGAUAAUCCACGAAUAAAUUUACUUAAUUUAUAAUUUUGUAUAUCAUUGUUAAAAAAAUAUUUUUUAGGAAAAAUAAUAUUUAAAAAUUAUAAUAAAAAAUUAAAUCAGAUCAAGAUGCAGAAUAUAAUUAAGAAUAUGAUGGAUUACAUUAAAUAUAUUUAUAUGAAUAAUUUUAUUGUAAUAAAAAUUUGAAGGUGGAUUUAAAUGUAAUUUUAAUUAGUUUAUUAAAAUGAUUAAAAAUUAAAAUAUGUACAUAUUGCCCGUCACUUUCAUUUAAAAAUUGAAAUAAGUCGUAACAAAGUAGAGGUACUGGAAAGUGUUUCUAGAAAGA